rnacentral:rRNA from 1 species
GACGAACGCUGGCGGCGUGCCUAACACAUGCAAGUGGAGCGACGAACCAGGCUUCGGCCUGGGGCCAAGCCGCGAACGGGUGAGUAACACGUGGGUAACCUGCCCCGAUGAUUGGGACAACCCGAGGAAACUCGGGCUAAUACCGAAUGUGCCCUCCAGCCACAAGGCUGCUGGGGAAAGGAAGCUUCGGCCUCCGCAUCGGGAUGGGCCCGCGGCCCAUUAGCUUGUUGGUGAGGUAACGGCNCACCAAGGCAACGAUGGGUAGCUGGUCUGGAGAGG